rnacentral:rRNA from 1 species
GGGUUGUGAGGUUAAGCGACUAAGCGUACACGGUGGAUGCCCUGGCAGUCAGAGGCGAUGAAGGACGUGCUAAUCUGCGAUAAGCGUCGGUAAGGUGAUAUGAACCGUUAUAACCGGCGAUUUCCGAAUGGGGAAACCCAGUGUGAUUCGUCACACUAUCAUUAACUGAAUCCAUAGGUUAAUGAGGCGAACCGGGGGAACUGAAACAUCUAAGUACCCCGAGGAAAAGAAAUCAACCGAGAUUCCCCCAGUAGCGGCGAGCGAACGGG